CACAAUAUGCCAUGUUUCUAAGGACGAUGUAAGUGUACAUCUUGAUUGUAAAUCAAUAUGAACCAUAAGAGGAGAAUAGUUUCACUUUGAAAAAUUCUCAAGGCAUUCAUUAUUGCUAAUGUGAGUACAUCGAGGUCUCAAAUAGACAAAGGACGUCGAUACAACGCCUUAAUACAUAUAACUUCGAACGAAAGUCAAUGUCUAGCCGAUGACAUCAAAGUCAUCUAGGCUUGUUAGCCUGGGAGUCAAAACAUGUGGUUUAAUCCUUUCCAAUGAAAGGUUCCACAGAUACCAAGCGAAGAUCCGCCUUAGGCAUCUAGUACGUCAAAACUCAAAGGAGCAGAAUGUUACAUUGUUUUUGCAUACAAAACCAAGCUGUUAUGAGACUCGAUAGAGGUCACAAACGAUGCUUUUAAUGGUUUGUUCUUCGGAUUGAUCAUACACAAUCCGGAAAAGCCGCGAAUUGAUCAAACACAAUUCAGAAAAAGGCCUCGGAUUGAUCAAACACAAUCCGGUGAAAGGUCGGGGUUGAUCAAACACAACCCGGACAAAGAAACAAGAGUGAUCAAACACACUCUUGACCCUCGAAUAAAAUUCCGGGAUUUGGGUACCUGCACGCACAAAAUCCCAAGCAUAGAAUGGAGAUGGAGAAGUGAGGAAAGGAUUUUAUCCUCCCCGAGUUAUUGAACUUGGAAAAGUUUAAGGUUUCAAAAAACAUACCUUUCUAGAGGCUUCCGAGAGGAGAAAUAACGUUUCACCUACUUAUACUUCGAAUUUGGGGCUGAAAAUUUGAUAGGAUGAGCAGCUCUGGAUGGGGAAGCUGCUGUCAAAAUUUCAGGUUGAUCGGAGUAAGGGAAGGUGGUGAACCGGUGGUCGGUAGCGGCGGCGGUCUGGAAUCUUCCGGCGGCCGGUUCAGAGACUUUCCGGCCGGUUCUCAGGGUGAGACCGGCGGCGUUGGAUCUGGGACGGAGAGAGCUUUCUGGGGAUAUAAAAUUCCGGUGGAGGACAGUCGGAAUUUUGGUCGGAAAUCGGGAAAAAAUAAGGCUGCCCUAUUUUAGGGUUUUGGUUUUUAGGGUUUAGAAAAAAA
rnacentral:lncRNA from 1 species